AGUACCCGUAUGUAUCGUGAGCGUAACUCUGAUUGCUGGUUAGCAAGGAAGACCGAUACCUGUUCACUUUUCAAGCCGUCAGUAUGAGCGAUGUUGGGAGCUUCAUGGAAACCCUCGCUAGAGGAGAGUCGAAAGGGGGACGCGAAUUGGUGUUUGAUGAGCGCACAGGUCGACUUGAGACGGUGAGGGCCGGGCAAUGUAACCCUGAUCAGAAAGUGGCUA